GAUGAACGCUGGCGGCGUGCCUAAUACAUGCAAGUCGAGCGAACAGAUGAGAAGCUUGCUUCUCUGAUGUUAGCGGCGGACGGGUGAGUAACACGUGGGUAACCUACCUAUAAGACUGGGAUAACUCCGGGAAACCGGGGCUAAUACCGGAUACUAUUUUGAACCGCAUGGUUCAAUAGUGUAAGACGGUUUCAGCUGUCACUUGUACCUGGACCCGCGCCGUAUUAGCUAGUUGGUAAGGUAACGGCUUACCAAGGCGACGAUACGUAGCCGACCUGAGAGGGGGAUCGGCCACACUGGAACUGAGACACGGACCAGACUCCUACGGGAGGCAGCAGUAGGGAAUCUUCCGCAAUGGGCGAAAGCCUGACGGAGCAACGCCGCGUGAGUGAGGAAGGUCUUCGGAUUGUAAAACUCUGUUGUUAGGGAAGAACAAAUUUGUUAGUAACUGAACAAGUCUUGACGGUACCUAACCAGAAAGCCACGGCUAACUACGUGCCAGCAGCCGCCGUAA
rnacentral:rRNA from 1 species